UACAGAGGUCUCAAGCGUUGUUCGGAUUCAUUGGGCGUAAAGGGCGCGUAGGCGGCGGGGUAAGUCGAGUGUGAAAUCUCAGAGCUCAACUCUGAAACUGCACUCGAUACUGCUCUGCUUGAGGACUGGAGAGGAGACUGGAAUUCACGGUGUAGCAGUGAAAUGCGUAGAUAUCGUGAGGAAGACCAGUGGCGAAGGCGGGUCUCUGGACAGUUCCUGACGCUGAGGCGCGAAGGCCAGGGGAGCAAACGGG
rnacentral:rRNA from 1 species